UGAAGGUCAUUUGCAUGCAGCGUACAAAGAUACACAAACCCGAAUAUGUUCAGUAGCCAGGAACAAUUAGACAAAAAGACUGGUGAAUAUGGCAUUGGAAGAUUUAAUUAUUUGCAAUCGCUUGUCACUGAGUUUCAAGACACAGACAGCAAUGAAAGCAAGCAGCAAAUCAUAGCUAAUUUAGCAAAUUUUGCAUAUGAUCCCAUAAACUAUGGACACUUUCAAGUACUGAAUAUUGUGGAUCUUUUCCUUGAUACUUUAGAAGAACCUGAUGAAAAGCUGGUAGAAUAUGCCAUAGGAGGAAUAUGUAACUGCUGUUUAGAUAAGAAGAUCAAACAGCAGAUCAUACAACAUGAAGGAGUGAAGCUUGUCGCUGGGUGUCUGUCUAGUCCUAAUGAAGAAACUGUGUUAUCAACAAUCACAACACUCAUGUACCUUACUACACCUGAAUCAAAGAAAGAGAUUACAGCUUUGCCUAUUGUAGAAUGUAUGCUGAGGUUUUCUGAGGCUAAUAACAAGAGACUAAGUAAUCUGGCCAAGGUUUUUCUCAAGGAUUAUUGCUCAGUUAGUCAGCUGGAUGCAGCGAAACAGAUACAACAGCAGAUGUCAGGUUUAAGUCAGUCAAGUGAGGACACUUGAUGAAACAGCCAAGCAUGUUCAACAUCAGAUGUUAGGUCUUUCUCAGUCUAGCAAGGACAUGUGAAGAAACAGCAGUUCCAUGUCAGUGCAAUGAUGACCCCUGUUAAAAAUUCCAAGCCUGCACAACAUCAGUUAGCAGCUUAAAGUCAAUCUACUGAAGACACCAGAUGAAAAAGCCAAAUAUGACCAACAACAUACAUUAGUUGUCAGGUCAGCGUCAGUCUUGUGAUGAAACGGCCAAACAUAUACAACAUGAGUUGUUGGGUCAGAGUCAGGCUAGUGAGGACAGGUGAUGAAACAGCCAAACAUGUACAACAUCAGUUUUUGGGUCAGAGUCAGGCUAGUGAGGACCCAUGAUGAAACAGCCAAACAUGUACAAAAUCAUUUGUUGGGUCAGAGUCAGGCUAGUGAGGACAGGUGAUGAAACAGCCAAACAUGUACAACAUCAGUUAUCAGGUCCCAGUCUAUCUAGUGAGAUCUGAAUCAGUCUAGCAAGGAAAUGUGACGAAACAGCUUAAUAAUAUUUGAUAUACCAACAUCAGCUAGGUGCUCAAAAAGUCUCAAUCUGGUGAACCUUUGUUUUAUAGUAGUGAUUGAGUACAUACUGUUUGUCGUGUUCCUACAUCAGGUCGUGUGAUCAGGUGUAUGAGUAUGUAUUUGUAAGUGUCUCAUUCUUAUUUUAUUGGUCAGUGGUCUUUGUGUGCAUUUGGAACUAAAGUGUUGCAGAUUUAACAAACAGUCAGCACGAUAGACAGGCAUUAUUCAGUCCAGUCCACAGAGAAAAUGAAAGAUUUUGUAUGUACCAAUACAUAUGUAUUUUAAGAUAACCUGAAUAUAAGCGUUAUUAUUCUUAUUGAAAUAUUUUUGAUUAUGGAAACUGUUUUGAUUAAUUUUUAUGAAAUAUCAGUAGAUUAUUAAUUUUUU
rnacentral:misc_RNA from 1 species